rnacentral:rRNA from 1 species
GCAGUCGAACGAUGAACCUCGCUUGCGGGGGGAUUAGUGGCGAACGGGUGAGUAACACGUGAGUAACCUGCCCUUAACUCUGGGAUAAGCCUGGGAAACUGGGUCUAAUACUGGAUAUUGACUUUUCACCGCAUGGUGGGGGGUUGAAAGCUUUUGUGGUUUUGGAUGGACUCGCGGCCUAUCAGCUUGUUGGUGAGGUAAUGGCUCACCAAGGCGACGACGGGUAGCCGGCCUGAGAGGGUGACCGGCCACACUGGGACUGAGACACGGCCCAGACUCCUACGGGAGGCAGCAGUGGGGAAUAUUGCACAAUGGGCGAAAGCCUGAUGCAGCGACGCCGCGUGAGGGAUGACGGCCUUCGGGUUGUAAACCUCUUUCAGUAGGGAACAAGGCUACACGUUGUGUGGUUGAGGGUACCUGCAGAAGAAGCGCCGGCUAACUACGUGCCAGCAGCCGCGGUAAUACGUAGGGCGCAAGCGUUAUCCGGAAUUAUUGGGCGUAAAGAGCUCGUAGGCGGUUUGUCGCGUCUGCCGUGAAAGUCCGGGGCUCAACUCCGGAUCUGCGGUGGGUACGGGCAGACUAGAGUGAUGUAGGGGAGACUGGAAUUCCUGGUGUAGCGGUGAAAUGCGCAGAUAUCAGGAGGAACACCGAUGGCGAAGGCAGGUCUCUGGGCAUUAACUGACGCUGAGGAGCGAAAGCAUGGGGAG